rnacentral:rRNA from 1 species
AACGAACGUUAGCGGUGCGCCUAACACAUGCAAGUCGAGCGAGAAGGGAGCAAUCCCAGUAAAGCGGCGCACGGGUGAGUAACACGUAGGUAAUCUACCUCGAGGUGGUGGAUAACCUUCCGAAAGGAGGGCUAAUACAGCAUGAGACCACGUCUUCGCAAGAGGAUGAGGUUAAAGCGGGUCACUACAAGUAAACUCGCGCCACGAGAUGAGCCUGCGGCCCAUCAUGGUAGUUGGUAGGGUAACGGCCUACCAAGCCGAAGACGGGUAGCUGGUCUGAGAGGAUGAUCAGCCACACUGGAACUGAGACACGGUCCAGACUCCUACGGGAGGCAGCAGUGGGGAAUCUUGCGCAAUGGGCGAAAGCCUGACGCAGCGACGCCGCGUGAGUGAUGAAGGCCUCGGUUGUAAGCUCUGUGGAGGGGACGGAAGUAAGGGUUAGGCGUAAUAUCCAGCUCGAUGACGGUACC